AAAAUGGGCGCUUACCACGGAGUGGUCGAUGACUGGGGUGAAGUCGUAACAAGGUAGCCGUAGGGGAACCUGCGGCUGGAUCACCUCCUUUAAA
rnacentral:rRNA from 1 species